UCGGAAAUAACACACAGGUUCUGAGCAUGACUACACAAAAGCUGCAUUAUUAAAACAUUACCAGCUUCUGACUCUGAGCACAGCUGCCGUGUCUCACUACCUACACCUAAUAUUCUCCAAUGUUCCAUGCAGCAAGCAUUCCAAGGCUGGUUAUUAAUAUGGGUUAUAGGUGAGCAAACAUGGGAAAACACACAACAGCUUGAGAGUGAUGUUAUCCUGAGCCUUGCAGAGCUGCCUGUACAAUUUCCAAAGGUCCUAUUAGGUAGGUAAUAUAUUUUGCGGUGUGUUUAAGAUAAAGAAAAACCGGAGAGCAGCUGCUGGAAGAAAUGGACAUGGAGAAUUCAGCAGCAGGAGGAGGCUUGGAGGGGGAAGCUGUGUUUUCAGCUGGCUCUCAGCACUGGAUGUCAGAGAAGAGACUGAACAAGUAAAAUGCUACAUCUCUUGGCAGCCGCUGAGUACCUGAGAGAGACACACACAGAGAAGUAGUGAUAAGAAAUACGGGAAAAUGGGGAAGAAAGGAAAAGCUGGAGGAGAUACGAAACAAAGGGCAGAUAAAUAUUUUAUAAAGAAAUGCUUUGUGAGGAAUUCAAUUUCAUUUUUACUUGAGCUGGACGUCUCAUUGUUAUUUAUCCUUUCUCUUUCUCCUGGAGAGGGGCAGAGAUUCUUAGGGUUCCGUUGUACUUAGUCUUGUUAGGGUGAGUGUGAUUUAGGAAUGCAAUAAGUUAAAUCUGAAUGUCUUUGUAAUGGAGGGGAAAAACUGGCAUAAUUGAUACAGCUAUAAAAUAUAGAUGUGUGACAAAGCUACAGCUGUCAUUGUGUAUAUUCCUCUGCUAUAUUUCAAGUUCUCUCCGUCACAGCUGGUUUUACUGCAAUCAGGCAAUGACAUUUUCUGCCUUUCCACUUUAUCAGUUCUAAUAUUCAGCCUGUCCUCAAACUUAUUCCCUUCUGUCUCUCUCUCCCUACCUCUAUUUCACACGCUGUCCUUCUUCCCAAGUACAGUGCAUUGCAAUAGGAGUUACAUUUGAAAGAUGAGCUUAAUUUAACCCAAACAAUAUUCAGCAGGAGUGCACUGGUUUUUGUUUAGCGCAGACCCUUCUGACUGUUUGUCUCCCUAAUUUUCUGACUGCAGGGCUCCCCAGAACUGAGCUGAUUAGAAUCCGCUGCAGGCAUGUUGAGGAGGCAGUUCCUGGUUCUGUGUGUUUUGGAUUUAACCUCUUCUAUAAGCUUGGCGGCCAUUUUGUUACAGCAGCUCAGCAGCAUAACCACCAAUAAUUCAAUUAUUUUCUUUCAGGAAUCUGUAGAGAUAAAGGUAAGGUUUGGUUUCAAGAAACGCAAUGAAUGCUAGUACAAAUAAGAUCAAUAGGGGAAGAAAUAAAACACAAAUAGUAGGGGGUAAUGCUGUUUUAUUGAUUUUGCUAUAAAGCUGCUGUGUUCAACUGCUAUCACUCUGAAGCCUAAGCUAUACCACUCUCAUACUACAGAAAGUAUGAAUGUAUCUGUAGAAAACAACCAGGGAGGUCUGAAAUAUAUUGCCAGCCAGAUUCCAGGUCAUGGGUGGAUUGUUCCUGUUUUUCUUCUAUUUGAAAAAGCGAUGUAGAUCAUAAAGCUGGUAACGAUCAUUAUUCAUUACAGAUUUGAAGGCAUGGAUAAAAGCUCCAUGCAGCCAGAAAGUAGGUCAUUUUUAUGUUACCUAGCAGCAUAAACUAGGCCUGGCAAUCAAUUCACUUCUAUUGCAUGUCAAGUGUCUGCGUUCCUCACCACAGAAUCUGAUCUGAUCACUAGAGUGGCCUCAUUUCUAUGACAGUUCCAUACUCUCUGAGCUGAUUGAUUUAUCCAUCAUUUGCUGUCCUUUUUUCCUUAUAUGCCAGUGUCACUAGUCAGUCAUCAGACUUUUUAAAGAAGUUCUAAUCUGCAACUCUUGUUUCAUGGUAAGUGUAGCGCUCGAUUACUUCAUAGCACCAGCCAGACAAGUGCUACCUGCCUAAGGCAAACCUACAAAGAGAAAAGAGACAAAAGCGAUUCUCUGGGGCAAUGGUGAGGAUUUUAUUGUCAGUUCAUUUUUGUCUCUGUGAAGUUAAUUUAAUAAUAUAUUAAGAUUAUAUAAGUAUGAAUAAGUAAGUAUGGAUGGAGCCGAUUUUAUAGCAGUAAACAGAGGAAAUAUUGUGCAGCCUACUUGGGCACACUGAUUCUAUACACAACUUAUAUACACCUCUUACAUUUGACGUCGGCAGUGCAUAGCCAAUGAAGUACGUCGUGUUGUGAGUUGGCUUGGUGGGUAUAUAAGUUGUGCGAUAGGCCAUCUGCACACAUCUCACUCUUUGCUAUCAUGGGUAAAAGGGGCAAUUUAUCCGAGUUGCAAAAAGGGAUGAUUAUCGGCUUUCGGCCCAAGGGUGGCAGUAUUUCUGAAAUAGCGCAGUUUGUGAAUUGUUCGCUUGUGCAGCUGUGGGGAAGAUGUAUCAUGCCUGGACAAAUGGCACCAUUGCGCAUAACCAUCGUGGAAACUGUGGAUCAUCACAUGCCAUUGAUGUGAGAGGUAAACGUCGUCUAUGAAGGUAUGUGAGGGUUGACCAAGACACUACAAUGGAGCAGCUCACCAUCAAAAUGUACCUGGUGGCUACCAGACGUGUGUCUAAAACAACAGUUCAGCUAACCCUGCUGUGUAUGGGGCUCCAAAGUAUAUGGAUGGUCACUGCACCUAUGCUAACAAAGGUGCAUUGGUGGAAAAGGCUUAAAUUUGCACGGCUGUAUCGGAAUUGAACCUCCACUUAUUGCCGCAGGGUUGCCUUCUCCGAUGAGUAACAUUUUCUUCUUCAUCGAAUGGAUGGACGUUUGCAUGUUAGGUGAGAAACAUUGGAAAACACACACCCUGCAACCAUUGCUGGUAGAACACAAGCUGGUUGUGGCCAAGCAUCCUCUAGCAGCUGUAGGAUGCACUGCAGUCAGCAUGGCUCCAGAUACCUUUGCCAACCUACCAGCACCUUAUUGACAGAGGCAUGGAUGGGAUCAGCAUUUGAAGGGGAAUGCUGGUUCCUGUAGUGCUACUUGGAAAUCCAAGGGGUGGCUCCUAUGUAAGGUAGCUCUCAAUUUGGCUGUAUUUCUGUAUGUGCCUUUAUCAUGAGGCCUUACAAUAGACACUUACAUGUGGCCUAGAGUGGGUACUGUUAUCAUACAGUUUAGAGACCGCUGGUAUCAGAGAAGCUGUGAAGUGGCCCGGUGGCUUAGCAUGUAUUAACAAAUGUAUGCAUAUCUCUGAAUUUCAAUUACCAUAUAGUUUUUCAAGUACUGUAUUGUUACAAGUACUAUUUAGUGUGCUGAGGGACACCCCCCUCUUUCUGGUUUCUGUUUGGUGUGACCCCUCCAUUUAAUGCACCUAAAAAGUACUGCCACUUUGAUUUGAGCAGCUUUCACUGUGUUUGUUGCUGUUGUGAGAGACAUUGUAUGGGAUCAGCAGUUGGAGGGCAUGCUGGUUCCUGUAGUGCUACUUGGAUAUUCCAGGGUUGGCUCCUAGGUAAGCUAGCUCUCAAUUUGGGUGUAUGUGCCUUUAUCAUGAGGGCUUACAAUAGACGAUUACAUGGCCCAGAGUGGGUACUGUUAUUAUGCAGUGUAGAGGCCGCCGGUAUCAGAGAAGCUGUGAAGUGUCCCAGUGGCUCACCAUGUAUUUGCAAAUGCAUGAAACAAAUAUCUUUGAAUUUCUAUUUAGUGUGCUGGGGCAUUGAUGGGAUCAGCAAUUGGACAGAAUGGUGGCUCCUGUAGUCCUACUUUGAGAUCCCAGGGAUGGCUCCUAGGUAAGCUAGCUCUCAAUUUGGGUGUGUUUCUAUAUGUGCCUUUAUUAUGAGGCCUUACAAUAGACAAUUUACAUGUCCCAGAGUGGGUACUGUUAUCUUGCAGUAUAGAGACUGCCGGUAUCAGAGAAGCUGUGAAGUGUCCCAGUGGCUCACCAUGUAUUUGCAAAUGCAUGCAACAAAUAUCUUUGAAUUUCUAUUACCAUAGAGUUUUUCAAGUAUUGUUGCAUGUACUACUUAGUGUGCUGGGGGACACCUGGUGGGAAAACCCCCCUUUCUGUUUUCUACUAAUUACCUAGGCCCAGCAUUGUCUUAGGAGCCCAGUGGGGGCCUGAUGAAAAUUAGAGUAGAAGGAGGAUUUCCCAUUCAGUUUGUAUGAGAGUACAUGCAAUGCCUUCCACAUUUGGCCAUGCCCUCUUGUAGCAACUGGGUGAACAGAAUAUUUUGAUGUCCCUGAAAAUGACAACCCUUUAGCACCACCACCACAAUUUGUCAGUACAAAAUUUUACAAAAUUAAAAGUUACACUCACAACAGCGGUGUAAUACAGAGUAAGUGGUUAUGUCACCAGAGACAGUGAGGGCGUGGGGGCGUGCAUGUGCAGUGAAGAUAGUGGUGCCAUCUUGGUAAGGUGGCUGUCUGGCGUCAAUACUUAAGAGCAGAAAAUAGCACUGGAACACAGUCCUCACUAGCAUCCAGGUCAUCAGUGGAUCUUUAAAAUGUGACAGGUGACAAUACACCUAUACAUCUGCUAGGCGGUCUGGAAAAUGUGCACUAUUAGGAGGAGUGGGAUUGAGAUGCACUGUCAUAGAAUUUGAAAUCUUCUGCGCAGAUGUUGAGGCCAUAUUUGCAAAGCUCUGACUGCCUCCACAAAGAGCACUGAAAUAUGGUGCUGGUACUUGUGUAGCAGAUGGGAAAGACUCAGGCUGAAGUUAAAAUUUUUUUUUUAUAACCCUAUGUCAUGUUAAAUACAGAAAGGAGGAUCACAAAUUAUAUGUGAUCUAAGGAGUGGUGAUUACCUGCAGGAAUAAUGACCAAUAAUGUUUUCAAGUGACUGUAUAUAUAUCAUUUUGUAUUCUUUCAGCUUAGAUGUGACAAAAUGGCUGACAAUGUCCUGCGUUCAACCUCCAUACAUCCAGGCUGGGGGAGAUCUGCAGACCAUAAAGUUUGAUAUGACAUGUGCAAUGACCAGACCAGGAGGUUAGAAAUACUGAUAAGAGGGGGAUGGCCGGAUCAAUUACCUGAUGGAAAGUAAAAGAAGUCCACAUGUUUAGAUAACUAAGCCAAAACUUCCUGGCUAGUCAUAAAGCUGUCCAGGGGUGACAAGGUGCAGAUCCUCACAGCCCUCACUCUCUUUGAAGGAGAUUUCAAUGCCUUUAGGCUACACCCCCUCCCCUUCUCCUGUGUUUCUUUCUAUCACCAAGUAUGUAAAACCUGGUGUAUGUGUAGUGAAGCAGGGAAGUAGUUAAAAAUCCCAAUGGAGGGGGCCGGAUGAAGCUGGAGACUAUGGGGGUCAUUCCGAGUUGUUCGCUCGUUAUUUUUUUCUCGCAACGGAGCGAUUAGUCGCUAAUGCGCAUGCGCAAUGUCCGCAGUGCGACUGCGCCAAGUAAAUUUGCUAUGCAGUUAGGUAUUUUACUCACGGCAUUACGAGGUUUUUUCUUCGUUCUGGUGAUCGUAAUGUGAUUGACAGGAAGUGGGUGUUUCUGGGCGGAAACUGGCCGUUUUAUGGGUGUGUGCGAAAAAACGCUACCGUUUCUGGGAAAAACGCGGGAGUGGCUGGAGAAACGGAGGAGUGUCUGGGCGAACGCUGGGUGUGUUUGUGACAUCAAACCAGGAACGACAAGCACUGAACUGAUCGCAGAUGCCGAGUAAGUGUGGAGCUACUCAGAAACUGCUAAGAAGUGUCUAUUCGCAAUUUUGCUAAUCUUUCGUUCGCAAUUUUGAUAAGCUAGGAUUCACUCCCAGUAGGCGGCGGCUUAGCGUGUGCAAAGCUGCUAAAAGCAGCUUGCGAGCGAACAACUCGGAAUGACCCCCUAUAUCUGUCUCCCUCAUUAAAACAGAGAAUAUGAUCUCUUGGGGACUCAACACUGUGGAGAUGACCUGAGUUAUUCUGUGAAAUCCCCCACAGUAGAAAUACCAAAAAUUUGUUUGCGUAAGUGAAUUAGGGUUUCUGCAGUUUUUAUUUCUUUUCAUUUAUUGAGAUUGCUGUAUUUUGUGUGUGUUUUUAAAAUAUUCUUAAUAAUGAAGUAUUCUUGAAAUUAAAAUUCUAAUUUUA